GUCUACGCUAGCUAUUGUCAGCAUGGUCGUCAUGAGUUACUUGAACAUGUUGGACUCAACGCUGAUGCGGUAGCUCGAAGCGGAGACUCAUUGGCACUUUCAGAGUUGCACCUAAAAUUUUAUGCACCUUUGAGAAGUGGUGAUAGGUUCGUUGUGAAGGUGAGGGUUGCUGGCAUCUCAGGGCUUAUUUUGGAAGCUACAGGCACAGUGGUUUGCCUCAACAAGAGUUAUUGGCCCACUCGCAUACCAUCAGAGUUUUCAUCGAAACUACUGCAGUUUUCCUCAUCUAAGGGUUCAUAGUGAUAUUUUUCUGUUUCCAAUUAAAUUGAGAAAGCCUGUAAAAUUUUUGGAAUUUCUAU